GACGAACGCUGGCGGCGUGCUUAACACAUGCAAGUCGAACGAUGAAGCUAGAGCUUGCUCUGGUGGAUUAGUGGCGAACGGGUGAGUAACACGUGAGUAACCUGCCCCGAACUCUGGGAUAACUGCUGGAAACGGUAGCUAAUACCGGAUAUGACCAAUGAAGGCAUCUUCUGUUGGUGGAAAGAAUUUCGGUUCGGGAUGGACUCGCGGCCUAUCAGCUUGUUGGUGAGGUAACGGCCCACCAAGGCGACGACGGGUAGCCGGCCUGAGAGGGUGAUCGGCCAAACUGGGACUGCGACACGGCCCAGACUCCUACGGGAGGCAGCAGUGGGGAAUAUUGCACAAUGGGCGCAAGCCUGAUGCAGCAACGCCGCGUGAAGGACGACGGCCUUCGGGUUGUAAACCUCUUUUAGUAGGGAAGAAGCGAAAGUGACGGUACCUGCAGAAAAAGCACCGGCUAACUACGUGCCAGCCGCCGCGGUAA
rnacentral:rRNA from 1 species